CAAUGACCUUUGGUAAGUUGGCAACAUUAGGUCAUUGACCAUUUGCUAGAAGUCAGCAAAACUGGGAAUAAUACAAUAAAGGAUUCAGAGGCUGCAGUUUGCUUAUCUUGUAGCCUUGUGCACAGUGCAAAAGCACAGAGCAUGAUUACCCCCACCUUCGGAAUUUGUGUAUACUGCCAAAUGCAUCAAGCGCAAAGUGUAUAAUUGCCUGUAAAAUCAUGUAUGCUUCAGAUCUCAUAGACUGACACGAGUCACUGUGAGAUCUCCGCUUUGCAAAACGUAUAAUAAAAGGCCUUGGUUUGUAAUUCUGAGUCUGCGUUGUUUGAGUGAUUGGGUUUUCUCAACCAGCAGAAACGAACCUUAAAUUCUGGUGUAACAGUUCUGGCGAGCAUAGCAGCCAGGAGUCCUUCUGGUAAACCUUGCAAGUGUUUGCCCUGCGCUGGAGAGCUGGAGAAGUGCGCACCAGGCCGUUUUGGCCUGCCUUAGGGCCGGGCAGACGGAGAGCAAGCACUACGUAAGUAGUAAUCGAGGGCUCCCAUAAAGACUCAGACGAACCAACGCUCAUCCUCCUCCCCUGUUCGAAGCAUUGCCAGUGUAUGUGGAGAGGGAGGUGUAGAUGACGGCCUGCUGAAAAGCUCAAGGGAUCCUGGGGAAUGUGGAAACUCCCAAACUGACUCUGAGUGUUGAACACAAGAUGAAUCAGAUUUUUCUUAAGGAAACAGUGUGAUCAGGAGCAGGACUGAGCCAGUCCUGAGCUACUUCUCCACUUUCCAAACACUCCUGCCACCAGCUGAAGCCCUAACUUCUCAAGGGAUGCUUGAGGAAUUUGAUUUCUGUGAACUCCGAUGCAAACUGACCUGAUUAAUACAUCCCAAGCUAAUCAUCCCAUAAACCUACUGGCAAGAGAGAACAGCUGUAAACAUGCUCUGAACUGCUCCUCGGAUCCCAGUUAAUACAUAGCAGAGCUGAUGCUGAGGGAUUAGGCAACGCUGUGGAAAGAACCAAAAUGGCUGCUGUCCUUUG